GGCGAGAUUAGCAUGUGGCACACUAUCUUUCUUAAAUUUUAUUCAUUUUUAUAAGCACACAUGCCAUUCAUACGUUAUAUAAUAAGUAUUUAGAAAAUGAUUGUUUAUCAGUUGCAUUUCCUAAAUAAUGUCUGCACAUCAAGAGUUAAUUAAAAUUUCAGUUUUAUUUCCAUUAGAAAGAGCAUGUUAGGAUGUAAUGAGAGACACAAUGGUUAAGAUAAGUUUGAUAGCUUUAAUGAAAUCAUUCACUUUCCUGGUGACCUUGUGAGUGUCCGAAAUUACUCUUCUUGAUGGUGCAUGUCAAUAGGAAUAAGAGCCGUAAUUGUGCCCGAUGGUCCAUUUCUAGUGUAGCUUCAAGAAGAGUGUCCCAUAAGGUUUGAAGGCCAUUUUAUUACUCUAAGUGAAAUCAAUAAAUAAAUUAAUUCUUUUCCUUUGUAUCUUCACUCACUUUCAGAAGUAGGUUGUUGCUGAAUAAAGAUUUCCCCCUGGAAAAGUAUCGGCUAAUAAAAUAGCAUUUGUGAAGUGUUCAGCAUGAUGUCUGAUACACAUAAUAUACUCCAGAAAUAUCUCUCAUGCUUGCCGAUUUCUCUUUGAUUUUUCUCCAAUACUGAGCAGAUAUUUAGCUAUGUUUAUAGCAUGCAUUUCACAAAGCAACACAUGGUUAUCUACUGAUCAAGUAAUUUAAAAUCCAUUGUGGACUCUCAGUAGUAAUUGUUAGGUUACCAUACAUUCUCUGUGGAAUCUGUUAGUGAACACUGCUGGAAUUGCAUUAAUCGUUUCUGUUUAUAAUCAAGCAUUGCAAUUGUUAAUGAGCCUGUGAGUUUGGAUUCUGAAGGGAAUAAAAAGGGCUAAUCAGCAGUGGUGAUUGAGAAAAUUUAAUAAAGUUUCAUUUUGCCAACAUGGGGGCAGUGUGACAGGGGACUGCCGGCAUGAGAUGAAGGAGGACACCAAGACCAGUCAUGGCUGGGCGGCGUUACCAUCACUGGGCCUGAGUCUGCAGGAGGAAAAGUUGCUUUUAGAAGAUGUUUUCCCUCAAUAUGCGGAGACUGCAAGUUGUUACCGAAACAGAAGUGAAUUCAAUUCAGCUUCAAAAAUGCGUAAGAGGGUGCAAAGCUAAUAUCUAAAAAAAGGAACCUAUUAAAAACACAUAGAAAGGAAAAUUGCAGUCAAGCAGCUUCACCAUCUGGGUCAUAUGAAAAUGAGAAGUAGUGAUGAGUGUCUGCAUGCUGAUGGUGCUGCAAACCUAAUCAACUCACUGUCUCUCCAAGCAGUCAUGUGUACAGAUUAAUGAAGAGAGGUGACAGAAUAAAACUUCCCGCUGACUUACUGUGGAUAAGCUA
rnacentral:lncRNA from 1 species